UCCUCCGCCAACGCACGUGUUGAGAAAGGAAGGAGGCUGGAGGCGUUGUCAAGACUCGAGAUAGUCGUAGCUUCCCCCCUCCCUUCUCACCGUGACUGUCUCAGGCUCAGCAGUUGGGAGAACAAUUAAUACUCGCUCAGAAGCACUUCCUGAGGUUAAUUAGCGAAAGAGGAUAAGAGGAAUAUCAAUUCUCGGAAACCACCGUUUCAUAUCUUUUCACUUUUUCUUAAAUUUGAAUUCCCUGAAUUUCUUCUUGAUCAGCUCCUCUUUUCGGUUUAAUCAUGGACGUUGAUCCUCGUCAGUAUGAGCAUAUUGUUGUUAGUGAUGACGAUAUUCACAACAUUGUCUUAUCAUAUCUUGUGCAUAAUUGCUUUAAGGGAACUGUUGAUUCAUUCAUUUCUUCUGCUGGGUUGAAGCAACCGGAAAAUUUUCUUGAGGACAUGGAGAAAA